GGGGCCGUAGCUCAGUCGGGAGAGCGCUACCUUCGCAAGGUAGAAGCCGUGGGUUCAAGUCCCAUCGGCUCCACCA
rnacentral:tRNA from 3 species